UGCAGUCUCUGCCAUGGAGCCCUGUCAGAGCCGAGUGAAGGAGGUGCUGAGGUGGAGUCUGACCGUUUCCUGUAACAGGGAGAGGCCAACACGCUCCUUCAUCUUCAGCGUUCUGCUCAUUCAGAGCCUGGCAGCCUUUGCCAUAUGGGUCACUUAUGGAUGGAUGAACCACUGCCUCUCUGCAGCUUGUGUUUCAUCCCUCCUCCAUCCAGUUGUGAGACGGAGCCGCCGCAGGACAGCAGGUUGUCCCUUCCCAUGGGAACAGCUGUAGGCUCUGGCGCCACAGACGCGGGCUGAUAUCUCAUGAGGCAGGAUCAGACCAGUGGAAACAAAGGAUUCUUGAAGACGGAUAAGCCAGUCACUGUUCCCAGCAGCAGGAUGCACCCUGGUUUUGAAUGUAAUAUCAUUAAAUAAAACUGCAUGUCAUCGA